ACCCGGGUAGCUCAGUCAGUUAAGCCCCUGACUUCAGCUCAGGUCAUGAUCUUGCAGUUUGUGAGUUCGAGCCCCGCUUCGGGCU
rnacentral:tRNA from 1 species